rnacentral:rRNA from 1 species
AUUGAACGCUGGCGGAAUGCUUUACACAUGCAAGUCGAACGGCAGCACGGACUUCGGUCUGGUGGCGAGUGGCGAACGGGUGAGUAAUAUAUCGGAACGUGCCCAGUCGUGGGGGAUAACGUAGUGAAAAUUACGCUAAUACCGCAUACGAUCUACGGAUGAAAGCGGGGGAUCGCAAGACCUCGCGCGAUUGGAGCGGCCGAUAUCAGAUUAGGUAGUUGGUGGGGUAAAGGCUCACCAAGCCAACGAUCUGUAGCUGGUCUGAGAGGACGACCAGCCACACUGGGACUGAGACACGGCCCAGACUCCUACGGGAGGCAGCAGUGGGGAAUUUUGGACAAUGGACGCAAGUCUGAUCCAGCCAUUCCGCGUGCAGGACGAAGGCCUUCGGGUUGUAAACUGCCUUUGUACAGAACGAAAAGGUUUCUAUUAAUACUAGGAGCUCAUGACGGUACUGUAAGAAUAAGCACCGGCUAACUACGUGCCAGCCGCCGCCGUAA